CGGAUUGAUCUCUACCUUGCUCAUCAUAGGGAUGGUGCCAAUGGGGAGGCUAAUGGUAGUACCCGGCAUUAUUUGACCCAACUAUUCGGUGUAGGGCACAUUAGGGACGGCACAAGAGGGAGGCUAGUGGUAGUACCUCGUGCCCUUUCCCAACUACAUCGGGUAGGGAGCAAAUAGAGUUUCGAAACGUAUCUCUUGGGAGAAAGAAGAGAGAGUUUUACUUGUUGUAAUCUUUGUUGUAAUUGGAGAAGAUUGAGUGGUGUUCAUUCCAAUUUUUAUAAAAAGAGGUGGGUCGGUUCAUCCCUUGGGUGAC
rnacentral:lncRNA from 1 species